rnacentral:rRNA from 1 species
UAAGAGGUCCCGCCUGCCCUGUGACUACAAGUUUAACGGCCGCGGUAUCUUGACCGUGCAAAGGUAGCGCAAUCACUUGUCUUUUAAUUGGAGACCUGUAUGAAUGGCACCACGAGGGCUUAGCUGUCUCCUUUUUCAAGUCAAUGAAAUUGAUCUCCCCGUGCAGAAGCGGGGAUAUACUCAUAAGACGAGAAGACCCUAUGGAGCUUUAGAUACCAAGACAGAUCACGCCAAACACCCUUAAAUAAAAGACCAAGCAAAAUGAGCCCUGUCCUAAUAUCUUUGGUUGGGGCGACCGCGGGGAAUACAAAUCCCCCACGUGGAAUGGGAAUACCUCCUCCUACAACUAAGAGCUACCGCUCUAGUAAACAGAUACUUCUGACCAAUAAGACCCGGCAAUGCCGAUCAACGGACCGAGUUACCCUAGGGAUAACAGCGCAAUCCCCUUUUAGAGCCCUUAUCGACGAGGGGGUUUACGACCUCGAUGUUGGAUCAGGACAUCCUAAUGGCGCAGCCGCUAUUAAGGGUUCGUUUGUUCAACG